UACGGAGGGAGCUAGCGUUGUUCGGAAUUACUGGGCGUAAAGCGCGCGUAGGCGGCUUUGUAAGUUAGAGGUGAAAGCCCGGAGCUCAACUCCGGAACUGCCUUUAAAACUGCAUCGCUUGAAUCCAGGAGAGGUGAGUGGAAUUCCGAGUGUAGAGGUGAAAUUCGUAGAUAUUGGGAAGAACACCAGUGGCGAAGGCGGCUAACUGGUCCGGAUCUGACGCUGAGGUGCGAAAGCGUGGGGAGCAAACAGG
rnacentral:rRNA from 1 species